rnacentral:lncRNA from 1 species
CCUUCCCUAGGCUAAACUUCUCCAUUGGAUCAAUAGCAGGUGGUCAACAAAGACAAAAACACCAUCUUCAGAAUGACUCAGAUCAUCCUCUUGGGCAGCCCUUUUUGGAUAUCUCUAUGAAAUUCUGCAGCUGAAAGCUGACACGCAUAAUUAUUUCCUGUUAGAUACUGAAGAAAAAAAAAAGCCCAGGAGAUAUUGUCGAGACUGUUUCUGGGGUGUGAUUGGGGGAUAGGAGAUGACCAUCCAGACCCACAGGAAAUGGGCAUUCUUGCUGAAAGUCAUGAAAGCAACUGAUUAUCUGCUAAGUGGAACUCCAGGGAGCAUGUUCAUCCUUACAUCUUACAGAGGAGGCGACUUUGCCAUCCAAUUAGUCCUAUUACCUUCUCACUGGAUCACAAAGGCAUUUAUGGGAAUAAGUCAUUUUUUAAAGGAAGAGAGAAGUGCAUUUAACAUGAA